rnacentral:rRNA from 5 species
UCCCGUAGGUGAACCUGCGGAAGGAUCAUUA